rnacentral:sRNA from 1 species
AAUAAGCCUGCGUUAAGGAUUGAAAUGGCAUCCUUUUUUCUUUUUCAGAAAAAAGAUAUAACGGAAAGCCUGACCCUGA